CUUUGCGGUAGAACGGGAGGGGGACGCGUCCGCGCGUGCUGGUUCUGUAUGUCCAGUCUGUCAACCCUCUUUCGUUCUGCCACCAUA
rnacentral:antisense_RNA from 17 species